rnacentral:rRNA from 1 species
UUGACUCUAGUCCGACUUUGUGAAGUUACUUGGUUGGUGUAGCAUACGUGGGAGCCUUGCAUCAGUGAAAUACCACGACUUCUCAAGCAACUUUACUUAUUCCAUUAGAUUGCAUCUCAACCUAGUUGAGUUUCAGCUCUAAGCGAGCUCUGCUCGCGAGCAAUGUGGAAGACAUAGUCAGGUGGGGAUUUUGGCUGGGGCGGCACAUCUCUUAA